UGGGGAAUAUUGGACAAUGGGGGCAACCCUGAUCCAGCGAUGCCGCGUGAGUGAAGAAGGCCUUAGGGGUUGUAAAACUCUUUCAGAUGGGAAGAUAAUGGACGGUACCAUCAGAAGAAGUUCCGGCUAACUCCGUGCCAGCAGCCGCGGUAAUACGGAGGGAACUAGCGUUGUUCGGAAUUACUGGGCGUAAAGCGCGCGUAGGCGGCUUGGUAAGUAGAGGGUGAAAUCCCGGAGCUCAACUCCGGAACUGCCCCUAAACUGCCGAGCUAGAAUCCUGGAGAGGUGAGUGGAAUUCCUAGUGUAGAGGUGAAAUUCGUAGAUAUUAGGAAGAACACCAGUGGCGAAGGCGACUCACUGGACAGGUAUUGACGCUGAGGUGC
rnacentral:rRNA from 1 species